rnacentral:lncRNA from 1 species
CGAAAACAAUGAUAUCCUACAAAUUUUCGAUUGAUAAAAAAAAAAUAAUGGUUAUUCUUAUUUGAAAGUACUUAUUAAUUUAUAAUUAUCAGUUAAGGAAAUUACAAUAGUUAAAAUUUUAUUUUAAUUAUUUUAAAAUAACCGGAUUUAAUAGCCACAUUUUUUUAAAGUAACCACUUUUUAACCGGAAAAGUCACAGGAAAUAACCGGGAACACGGGUGAUGACUUGGCAACUUUGUUCUUGAUGCCCUUAGUUCGAGAUUAUAAGUUGCACGUGUUUUGAUAUAAGGUUUUUGUACAUCGUACAGUUCUCUAAUUUUCAUGAUGCCUCGGAAAAAAAGAAGCUUUUUAGGUAGAUUAACUCCUGCUGCUAAACGAAUGCGUUUAAUUCGAGAAAAUAAAACAUUAGAAGAUCGAACAAAUCAACAGAAUUCUAAUAGAGAAAGAGAGAGACAAAGUAGGGAACAUUCGAAAAGGCACAUAUUUCAAAUGGAAAACGUAUCUAUAUGGGAAAGGUUUUCAGAAUUCAUUGAAGAAAAUCUUGAAUGUCAUAU